rnacentral:misc_RNA from 1 species
AACGCACAUUGCGCCCGCCAGUAUUCUGGCGGGCAUGCCUGUCUGAGCGUCGUUUCGACCCUCGCGCCCGGCUUCUGUCGGGGGCGGUGUUGGGGAUCGGCCACACCCCUUAGCGGGCGGCCGGCCCCUAAAUUCAGUGGCGACCACGCUGUAGCCUCCCCUGCGUAGUACUAAAACCACCUCGCAGGCGGAGAGCGGUGCGGCCCGCCGUAAAACCCCCAACUUUUACAAGGUCGACCUCAGAUCAGGUAGGAAUACCCGCUGAACUUAA